CAAGCAUCAGGAGUCCUCCCCCUCCCAGCACUAGGAGUCCUUCCCCCUGCCCCUCCCAGCACUGGGGCUGUAAUGAAAGCAAACUAGACUGGCUGGUCAGCAAGCAUCAGGAGUCCUCCCCCUCCCAGCACCAGGAGUCCUCCCCCUCCUCUCCCCCUCCCAGCACUGGGGCUGUAAUGAAAGCACAGUGCACUCAGGCUUUUACAUGGGUGCUGGAGAUCCCAACUGGAGUCCUGGUGCUCGUGUGGCAAGCACUCUUCCCACUGAGCUCUCUCCCCAGCCCUAGAAUAACAUAUUUACGUGGAACAAGUUACAUUGUAAACUAAAAGGAGCUGGAAUCAUUCAGCAAAGCGCCUUGCCCAACUCCCAUAAAUUAGCAAAGCAGGAAAGCCUAGAUCCCAAUUAGGGCAGUCUUUUCUCCAUUUCGCCAGCUGCCUUCUCAAGAAAAGGCUUUAAAGGAUCAAGGAAGGACCCCAAGGAUGACAGAGCACACUGACAGCACAGACAUAACUCAAGUCACUGUCCAGCCUGAAGCCCUUGUCAUGUGCCAAACACCAUGCACAGCAUUUGGUGUGAAUUAUCUCUCUGAAAGCAGAAACGUCCCCAAAGGGACCCUGGGAGAUGGCUGAGGAGCAUGCCCAAGGUUGUACUGCUAAGAAGCAAAGCUGGAUUUCAAACUGCCCUAAACGUCUAAAGCUCCAUUUUAUAAUAAAACCCAAAAGUAUCGAACUGACCUGCUCCCAGUUAUAGGGUGAGAAACUUGGUCUCCUAACACUGCAUUUAGAAUUCAUUUGCUCCCCCAAAGCACGGUUCACAUCAAUCCCACUGUCUGUGGUGUUGCUGUUCUACAACAAACAGAGCAGCCAUAAAACAGCUCAGUUCCAUGGGUUCAGGACAGGGGGUGUUGCUUGACUAGAUUUCUAUCGCUUGUGCUCUUCUGGGCUCUUCUGACCCCUGAAACAUGCACUGGAACAGAGGGUUGGAAAGGGAGACCUGAGAAGUGUGUAUUAGCAAAGACGAAGUUCAUUAUGUGCUCUGCCCUGGGACGGGGAAUUUUGAGUUGCUUGUUGGAAGUUUAUCUCGGUUUGUUAAGCGUAAACUGGGAAGUCCCUGCUACGUGAGAAGUGAAGUCCUCAAAGUCGGACUGCAGACAUUCAUUUGUUAAACAAGACUGGUUCGCAGAAGUGUCCACAAAUAGCCAUUAUCUCUAAGCGCAGGACUCUAGAAAUAAUAAUGAAGCUCGUGGGAAUAUUUAUAUUUCGUGGCUUUGACUAGGGUAAUAAAACAGUGUCAAAGGCUGGGGCUGUAGCUCAGUGGAAGAGUUUCCCUCGAACGUUUGGGGUCCCGGGUUCAGCUUCCAUUACUGCCAGAAAUAAAAAGAUAGUUUAGGGUCAUUGUUUAAUACUGUCCUAGGAGUAGAAUGACUUUGGAUUUCCAUCAGAGAGAUGAAGAGUAUGGAGAAUAAAAGAGAAUGGAUGUCUUGCUCAUGGUGUGAGCCUACUAAGCCUGCUGCUGGGGAUGUGGGAAUGAGAAGUGCUGCCAAACGGGGGAAUAUCGUCAGAUUUCCAUGGUGGUGGACAUUGUUCACACCGCAUUGAUGCACAGAGCUGCAUUCCUACAGUAAGAGGCUUCAGUUUGCAAAAAUGAUUAUUAUGGGAUGACAGUCAAAACUUCAGUGAAAAAAAAUUAGAGAAAUUCAGUCUGGUUUCACUCAGUGACGUCAGCAUGUGUUGUAGAGAGGGAAGCCAGUGCAUUCGAUAUUCUAAAAUAUCUUAAUCUCGUCAAAAAACAAGCAUAUUUCCAACAUGUGGGGCACCAUUCAAACCUCUAUUUAGGUGUGCAGUGGAAUUAUUCGAAUAACUAUUCAAAUAGAAACUGAAAACAAAUUUGAUUUAGGAUUAUGGAUCCUAAAAUAAUACCCCUAGGGAAAGAAAACCCCCUUUUAUCAAAACCUCUACCAGACUCCUUAUAGGCAUCGCUUUAAUACUCAUUAUUGCUCUGUGGAGCACCUCCUGCAUUUUCCAGAUCAGAACAAAUCACAGAGAAUAAAUGGCCCACAACUGAACAUUUAAACCUCAGGCACAGAACCCUGCAAACCCUGUGCUCCCCAGCACAUUCGAAGGGACUUGUGGUCUGUGUAGGGUUUGGCUGUUAGGAAAUCCUGCCAGUUAUACUCAGGAGAGUAGAGUUAAGCAGGUCAACCUUUGUCCAGCAUGCACAAGGGAGGGAAUGUGUUCAGUCCUCAGUACCAGGCGACCGAAAACAAGAAGUCCAAGUACAGCCUUGACUAUUUCAACCAUUUCAGAAGUCCUCACAGAGAUGGACACUUCCUGAAAUCUAUAUUCCGCACUACAGUUGCCUGUAAAUACCAGUGGAGACUUGUCAGAGAAACUUAGAUUUCAGCUCAGGGACAAAAACCAGGAUGUGGAUCAAGAGGGCACGGUUUCAGCAUUCCAGAGCAGUAACCCAGCAGGGAAAGGGUGGACCCUGAGGCCGCUCAUCCCAGAUCUGACCCAGAGGUCUCAAUUAAAAAAAAAAAAAAAAAAAAAAA